AUCCUUCUGGUUCAGAUGGGAAGUGAUGCGGCUUUUUUCAUGCGCUUCGUGCAUGAGACGUGCAGGGCCAAAAUGUUGUUACGACUUUCGCACGUGACCCGCCUGAUC